AUCAUUACCGAGUGAGGGCUGCCUCCGGGCGCCCAACCUCCCACCCGUGACUACCUAACACUGUUGCUUCGGCGGGGAGCCCUCUCGGGGGCGAGCCGCCGGGGACUACUGAACUUCAUGCCUGAGAGUGAUGCAGUCUGAGUCUGAAUAUAAAAUCAGUCAAAACUUUCAACAAUGGAUCUCUUGGUUCCGGCAUCGAUGAAGAACGCAGCGAACUGCGAUAAGUAAUGUGAAUUGCAGAAUUCAGUGAAUCAUCGAGUCUUUGAACGCACAUUGCGCCCCCUGGCAUUCCGGGGGGCAUGCCUGUCCGAGCGUCAUUGCUGCCCAUCAAGCCCGGCUUGUGUGUUGGGUCGUCGUCCCCCCCGGGGGACGGGCCCGAAAGGCAGCGGCGGCACCGUGUCCGGUCCUCGAGCGUAUGGGGCUUUGUCACCCGCUCGAUUAGGGCCGGCCGGGCGCCAGCCGACGUCUCCAACCAUUUUCUUCAGGUUGACCUCGGAUCAGGUAGGGAUACCCGCUGAACUUAAGCAUAUCAAUAAGCGGAGGA
rnacentral:rRNA from 1 species